rnacentral:rRNA from 1 species
CCUACGGGUGGCAGCAGUGGGGAAUAUUGCACAAUGGGGGAAACCCUGAUGCAGCAACGCCGCGUGAAGGAUGAAGGUUUUCGGAUUGUAAACUUCUUUAGUCAGGGACGAAACAAAUGACGGUACCUGAAGAAUAAGCCACGGCUAACUACGUGCCAGCAGCCGCGGUAAUACGUAGGUGGCGAGCGUUGUCCGGAAUUACUGGGUGUAAAGGGCGUGUAGGCGGGAAUGUAAGUCAGAUGUGAAAUCCCAGGGCUCAACCCUGGAGCUGCAUCUGAAACUAUGUUUCUUGAGUGUCGGAGAGGAAAGCGGAAUUCCUAGUGUAGCGGUGAAAUGCGUAGAUAUUAGGAGGAACACCAGUGGCGAAGGCGGCUUUCUGGACGAUAACUGACGCUGAGGCGCGAAAGCGUGGGGAGCAAACAGGAUUAGAUACCCGAGU